UUUAAUUUAAACAAAUCAAUUGAGGGAUGAAGUGAACUAGACAGACCUCUCGUCCAGAGGAGUGACGAGAGGACCUUUGUUAGCCGUGAUUUCGGCAUCGCUAACGACCCCAACAACCAAUUUAGCCUUGGAGAAAGCUCGACGGUUGACGGCAGCUCCGACGGCGGUGGAGGAGGUUUAGAGCGAGAGCGUUGGCGCUGCUUGAGGUAGAGUUGGAAGAAUUAGAAGAGAGCACAGGGUAUGACUAAAAUUUUAGAAGAAUUUUUCAUAGGGUUAUAUUUAGGGAAUAAUUGGGGGAAUAUUGAAUUGGGAAAACGUACAAAGCUUGAGAGAGACAGAAGCAGAGGGACGACGACGACGGUGGAAGAGAGGGACGGUGACGGGGAAGAGAGGCCACAAUCGAGAGGCAGGAGGCUAAGGAGUGAGGAAUUUCAGAUCUGGCGUACAGAGAUAGGAGAGAGAAGAAAGUAUGGUCGUGUUUUAAUUUCAAAUUUUGUCUUCCGCGUUUUUAUC
rnacentral:lncRNA from 1 species